GAUUGAACGCUGGCGGCAGGCCUAACACAUGCAAGUCGAGCGGAUGAAGAGAGCUUGCUCUCUGAUUCAGCGGCGGACGGGUGAGUAAUGCCUAGGAAUCUGCCUAGUAGUGGGGGACAACGUUUCGAAAGGAACGCUAAUACCGCAUACGUCCUACGGGAGAAAGUGGGGGAUCUUCGGACCUCACGCUAUUAGAUGAGCCUAGGUCGGAUUAGCUAGUUGGUAGGGUAACGGCCUACCAAGGCGACGAUCCGUAACUGGUCUGAGAGGAUGAUCAGUCACACUGGAACUGAGACACGGUCCAGACUCCUACGGGAGGCAGCAGUGGGGAAUAUUGGACAAUGGGCGAAAGCCUGAUCCAGCCAUGCCGCGUGUGUGAAGAAGGCCCUCGGGUCGUAAAGCACUUUAAGUUGGGAGGAAGGGCUUACAGCGAAUACCUGUGAGUUUUGACGUUACCAACAGAAUAAGCACCGGCUAACUUCGU
rnacentral:rRNA from 1 species